UACAGAGGUCCCAAGCGUUGUUCGGAUUCAUUGGGCGUAAAGGGUGCGUAGGUGGCGCCGUAAGUCAGGUGUGAAAUCUCGGGGCUUAACUCCGAAACUGCAUUUGAUACUGCGGUGCUUGAGGACUGGAGAGGAGACUGGAAUUUACGGUGUAGCAGUGAAAUGCGUAGAGAUCGUAAGGAAGGCCAGUGGCAAAGGCGGGUCUCUGGACAGUUCCUGACACUGAGGCACGAAGGCCAGGGGAGCAAACGGG
rnacentral:rRNA from 1 species